CUGUAUUCUGGUCUCGGUCGAAAGUGCUGCUCUGUGGCAGCAAAUAGCUGCUCGAUACCUGGACCUUUGUUCGGACUGUUUCUGGCUGGUUCGUCACCGAGUUCGACAUCAAGGGGGUCCACCAUUACAGUUGUUGGAACGGUGCACCAGUUCUGGUGUCUGAAGUCACAGGGAAGAUUUUCAAAUCGUGCUCUUGCCGAUCUUGAGUAGGGCCUACUACACGCUGAGGAGGCAUCGUAUCCAAAGUUUCCGGAACUGCCACCUUUGAAGCUUUGACAUCUACUCAACUGCAAUUUAAGAACCUGAAAAGCCAAGACCGUAGAGAUAUACACAGUACAGGCACAUGCAGUAGGUCAAUCCGACAGCUUACUCCAUUACGCUGGAUAAUAUCUCUUCUCGCAUUGCUGGCUUAGCAAUAGAACGAGCUGCAUCCGUGUAGGGUAUGGCUUUUUAAUGGGAAGUCGAUGGCUCGUAACUAUGGGGAUGUACGGUUCAAUCAGGCCCACAACUGCAGGCGUACUAACACGUUUUCAUGAGUACCUAACUCGAAUAGGUGCUCUUUGAAGCGGAAGUCAAGCAACACUUUCACCUCCAAGGUGGUGAAGGAGGAGGCUAUCUGUUUAGGAUUUAGGAGCAAUGUAUCCUAGAGAAACACGUUGGUUAAAAUGUCGUAAAAACCAACGUCAGAAGUAACACCGAAAUCACGUACCAAACAUAUUAUAAGAGUUUGCAAUGUAUUUGUCCUCAUGGAAUUCCGUUUUAGCAAUCCUAUGCAGCCGAUGUCUCAAAAUUAAAUAAAUUUACCUGAAAUACAAUUUUAGGGGUAAACGUAUGAUCAGGGGAUAUAAUUUCGUAUUUUCAUCUCCACUCAUGAGACUCAUUAUAUGCUUUCUUUGGAUACGAUGAAAAAACACGUUUAACGCGCCAAUGUGUUCAUAUGAGAAGAAAGCGAGUUCGAGGAACGCUGCAGUGAGCAUGAACUUGAAAGAUAUUGACGUUUUUAAGGAGAUCUGUCCUGCAGUAAUCACUCGUGUUUACAAUACUUUCUUAUUUAUUUCCAGAGAUUUAUCGCAGCCAAUCACUAGUAGCCGAUCUGAUACGUUCGUGACCCACCAGCCCACUUAUUGAGCCUGGAAAAAGUCUGAAGCCUGGAACUUGAAAGAAGUAAUAAAAAUUGAGACUA